rnacentral:rRNA from 1 species
GACGAGCCACCCAAACGUUAUUCGGAAUUACUGGGCUUAAAGGGCGCGUAGGCGGCCCGCUAAGUCGAACGUGAAAUCCCUGGGCUCAACCCAGGAACUGCGUCCGAUACUGGCAGGCUUGAAUCCGGGAGAGGGAUGCGGAAUUCCAGGUGUAGCGGUGAAAUGCGUAGAUAUCUGGAGGAACACCGGUGGCGAAGGCGGCAUCCUGGACCGGCAUUGACGCUGAGGCGCGAAAGCUAGGGGAGCAAACGGG